rnacentral:lncRNA from 1 species
UGGGGUCGAGUUUUAGGGCUCCAAUUUUAGGGUUCUUGCGCGCGAGCGAUGGCGCCGGGCGCUGGAUCAGCGGCCGCGAGAAGGAUUUUGGCGCGGGGCAUGGCGACGGUGACGGAGGAGGUGAAGCUGAGCAAGAGUAAGUCUGGGGAGUUUAAUCUGGUGACGUUUAUGGAGACGAGCAACAUACGCACAGUCAUGCAUCUGGUGCCGUUUGUGGGCGCCGUGGCUUUUGUCACGGCGGAGGCGCUGGAUUUCUACAGCCAGUGGAGUGCGAUCCAGCAGCCCAGCAGACACUAGAUCUCCUCUCUUUCUCCUCUCUUUCUUCUUGAAAUAAAAUGCCCCAAUUCCCAUCCAAAGCUUCUUGGCAUGGCCAUCUUUCUUCACAAUGAGACCUCUCUUUUGUGUCUCACACUUUGUUUCAGUGAAGAGAUUACAUUCUUGUUCCAUUGACUAUGUUGACUUAUUAUUGACUUUC